rnacentral:rRNA from 1 species
CAGCAGCCGCGGUAAUACAGAGGGUGCGAGCGUUAAUCGGAUUUACUGGGCGUAAAGCGUGCGUAGGCGGCUUUUUAAGUCGGAUGUGAAAUCCCUGAGCUUAACUUAGGAAUUGCAUUCGAUACUGGGAAGCUAGAGUAUGGGAGAGGAUGGUAGAAUUCCAGGUGUAGCGGUGAAAUGCGUAGAGAUCUGGAGGAAUACCGAUGGCGAAGGCAGCCAUCUGGCCUAAUACUGACGCUGAGGUACGAAAGCAUGGGGGCAAACAGGAUUAGAUACCCCUGUAGUCCCUGUCUCUUAUACA